AGAUUGAACGCUGGCGGCAUGCCUAACACAUGCAAGUCGAACGGGAGUAGCAAUACUCUAGUGGCGGACGGGUGAGGAAUACGUAGGAAUUUGCCCUUAAGUGGGGGAUAACCCGGGAACCCGGAUUAAUACCGCAUGACCUCGAAAGAGCAAAGUGGGGGAUCGCAAGACCUCACGCUUUUGGAGAAGCCUACGUCGGAUUAGCUAGUUGGUGAGGUAAUGGCUCACCAAGGCGACGAUCCGUAACUGGUCUGAGAGGAUGAUCAGUCACACCGGACU
rnacentral:rRNA from 1 species